rnacentral:rRNA from 1 species
UACGGGGGGGGGCAAGCGUUGUUCGGAAUUACUGGGCGUAAAGGGCUCGUAGGCGGCCAACUAAGUCAGACGUGAAAUCCCUCGGCUUAACCGGGGAACUGCGUCUGAUACUGGAAGGCUUGAAUCCGGGAGAGGGAUGUGGAAUUCCAGGUGUAGCGGUGAAAUGCGUAGAUAUCUGGAGGAACACCGGUGGCGAAGGCGACAUCCUGGACCGGUAUUGACGCUGAGGCGCGAAAGCCAGGGGAGCAAACGGG